CGUAUCGAUGAAAAACGCAGCAAACUGCGUUAUUUACCACGAAUUGCAGACGCUUUGAGUGGUGAAAUUUUGAACGCACAGCGCCGUUGGGGUUACUCCCUUCGGCACGUCUGGCUCAGGGUUGCUUAUGUACUGCCAAAAUGCUUGAUUUGGU
rnacentral:rRNA from 1 species